GCUCUCGUAGUGUAGUGGUCAUCACGUGCGCUCAGUUCGCGCAAUGUCCCUGGUUCGAUCCCAGGCGAGGGCG